rnacentral:rRNA from 1 species
GACGAACGCUGGCGGCGUGCCUCAGACAUGCAAGUCGAACGCGAAAGUUUCCUUCGGGAGACAAGUAGAGUGGCACACGGGUGAGUAACACGUAGGUAAUCUACCUUCGGAUGGGGAAUAACAAUCGGAAACGGUUGCUAAUACCGCAUAAUGCAGCGGCACCUAAUGGUGACAGUUGUUAAAGCGGGGGAUCGAAAGACCUCGCGUCUGAAGAGGAGCCUGCGGCGGAUUAGCAGUUGGUAAGGUAAUGGCUUACCAAGGCGACGAUCCGUAACCGGCCUGAGAGGGCGGUCGGUCACACUGACACUGACAUACGGGUCAGACUCCUACGGGAGGCAGCAGUCGGG